AUGCCACAACAUUUUGAUCUCGCA
rnacentral:siRNA from 1 species